UCAAUGCUGAAUCCGCCUAUGGCCAAACUGGAGCCAAACCACUAGCCAAAUGACCGAAAAACCCCGUCGAAGUUCGGUGCCGCCGCUGCAACUUCCCUUUGUUUUUGCCUCCAAUGAAGCCCUUCCCAGCCUCCGUUUAAUGCAAAUUUUAUACCACUGUGAUCACUGUUCUUUUCUCUACAGGUUGAUCGGAGCCAAAUAUCAAAACGCGACUCACGCCAGAGGAGCCGCCGCACCCGAGAGCACUGCCGCCGGUAAGUCUCAGUUUUUUGUGAU
rnacentral:lncRNA from 1 species